AUACGGAGGGUGCAAGCAUUAAUCGGAUUUAUUGGGCGUAAAGGGCGCGUAGGCGGGAAUGUUAGUCAGAUGUGAAAGCCCAGGGCUCAACCCUGGAACAGCAUUUGAAACUGCAUUUCUAGAGGGUAGGCGGAGAAAACGGAAUUCCACGUGUAGCGGUGAAAUGCGUAGAUAUGUGGAAGAACACCGGUGGCGAAGGCGGUUUUCUAGCUUAUACCUGACGCUGAGGCGCGAAAGCAAGGGGAGC
rnacentral:rRNA from 1 species